rnacentral:rRNA from 1 species
UACGGAGGGAGCUAGCGUUGUUCGGAAUUACUGGGCGUAAAGCGCACGUAGGCGGCUUUGUAAGUUAGAGGUGAAAGCCCAGUGCUCAACACUGGAACUGCCUUUAAAAACUGCAUCGCUUGAAUCCAGGAGAGGUGAGUGGAAUUCCGAGUGUAGAGGUGAAAUUCGUAGAUAUUCGGAAGAAACACCAGUGGCGAAGGCGGCCUCACUGGAGCU